rnacentral:rRNA from 1 species
GACAGAGGAGCCAAGCGUUGUCCGGAUUGACUGGGCGUAAAGGGCUCGUAGGCGGCCAACUAAGUCAGACGUGAAAUCCCUCGGCUUAACCGGGGAACUGCGUCUGAUACUGGAUGGCUCGAGUUUGGGAGAGGGAUGCGGAAUUCCAGGUGUAGCGGUGAAAUGCGUAGAUAUCUGGAGGAACACCGGUGGCGAAGGCGGCAUCCUGGACCAACACUGACGCUGAGUGAGCGAAAGCCAGGGGAGCAAACGGG